UGCAACAGCGCCCAGCUCAGGGCCUUAUGAG
rnacentral:piRNA from 1 species